rnacentral:rRNA from 1 species
CUGGCGGCGAGUGGCGAACGGGUGAGUAAUACAUCGGAACGUGUCCUGUAGUGGGGGAUAGCCCGGCGAAAGCCGGAUUAAUACCGCAUACGAUCUACGGAUGAAAGCGGGGGAUCGCAAGACCUCGCGCUAUAGGGGCGGCCGAUGGCGGAUUAGCUAGUUGGUGGGGUAAAGGCCCACCAAGGCGACGAUCCGUAGCUGGUCUGAGAGGACGACCAGCCACACUGGGACUGAGACACGGCCCAGACUCCUACGGGAGGCAGCAGUGGGGAAUUUUGGACAAUGGGCGCAAGCCUGAUCCAGCAAUGCCGCGUGUGUGAAGAAGGCCUUCGGGUUGUAAAGCACUUUUGUCCGGAAAGAAAUCCUCUGGGUUAAUACCCCGGGGGGAUGACGGUACCGGAAGAAUAAGCACCGGCUAACUACGUGCCAGCAGCCGCGGUAAUACGUAGGGUGCGAGCGUUAAUCGGAAUUACUGGGCGUAAAGCGUGCGCAGGCGGUGAUGUAAGACCGAUGUGAAAUCCCCGGGCUUAACCUGGGAACUGCAUUGGUGACUGCAUCGCUGGAGUAUGGCAGAGGGGGGUAGAAUCCACGUGUAGCAGUGAAAUGCGUAGAGAUGUGGAGGAAUACCGAUGGCGAAGGCAGCCCCCUGGGCCCAUACUGACGCUCAUGCACGAAAGCGUGGGGA